UCAUAAUAACCAAUACGUGGACCUCAAAUGGGGAGGGUUUACAGCUGAGAUUGACGUGUGUUUCAAUGGCAGCCGGAGAGAGAGAUGUGCUGCCAUAAGAAGACCCCUGUUGGUCCGUAUAGGCUACGCUACAUGAUGCUGAAGCAAGGGAUGAAAGAAACACCAGACAGAUGGAUGGAGGAUGGAGAGAGAGAACUGGUCCUAGUGCAGUGUGGAAGACUAGUGAUUUUGUUGUGAUGCUGAGCAAUGAGAAUAACAACAAGUCCCAGUCUGCCUCUCAGCACAGGGCACUUCCCUACAGUCUGCCUCAUAUUACUGUGUGUGUGGUGUGUGUGGUGUGCGUGUGUGUUGUUUCGCAGUGUAAUUGCAGCGUAAACAUGCAUGACUAUAAAUGCAAAUAAAACCAUCAUGAUGUGUAAACUGAAAUAGCACAGACAUUUAAUUCAAGACUGGAACAUUGAUAACAUACAAAACAUGUACAAAUGGUCACUUUCAUACAAUCAGAAAAUGCAUUUGAAAUUUGGAACCUCAUCGCAAACAUGCUUUGAUCAGUUCCCAGGCAAGCUGUUAAAAGGGAGAAGCAGCCAUUUUCCCCUAGUAAUCGCAUGUGACUUGCAUUUAAAACUGGUACAGUUGAACUAGGGCAGGAGACCAACGGUAAAUGACUCUAUGACUACACUUUGUAGAUAAAAACACCUCUAUAAUUGCUUUAUCUGACAUCAACAGACUUCAUCAACAUUUGCAGAAAGCCUAGACACACUAACACAUUACAGAUUUUAACCUACAGACAAUGUACAGGCAGCAUUUACAUGACUAUGGAGACAAAGGGCAUUGGUAAUGGAUUUGUAUAAAAGAAGCCAUUUUGAAAUGCUCCGUUACCAAGCUGGAAUACUUCAAAUCAAUUUAGCAUUCCCCUCUGUGUUCCAUUUGACCCAAUGAGUCAUGAGAACACAUAGCCUACCCAGACCUGUGUCUGUUCUAUUCAUUGUAUUCAUAUGACUGCACACAGUUAGCGUUGCUGUCGAGCGUGUCAUCACACACACAACACUUCAGAGGUCUUCACGUUACAGCCCUACUUCAACCUUCCGCUUAGCACCGUAGUUUAUUGUGCACCUUAUGAUCUAGACACAGAAUAUUGCAUGUUAAUUAAAGGAAUGGGUUAUAAGAA